CCAGUAUAACUAAGGAAUGCAUAUAGUGCCAGUUCCAAUGCUGCAGGUAUGCAGUACAAUUCCUCAAGAGACUGUGAAUACAUUAAAAAAUACAUAUUUUAUUUCCUUGGAAUAUUUAUUGAUGACAUUCUUGCUAUUGCAAUUGCAAGAUGAUCUAGAAAUUUAAUGGAUUUUGCAUUGAUUUAAUGUGCCUAUGUUGCUCUGAAAGUAAUGCUUCCUAUUUUUUCCAUGGAAACUACAACAAAGAGCACAAUAACAUUGUUUGACUGAGCAAAUUCUCAGCUACAAAAUACUGUUUUUCAACAUAGUCACCACCAUUAACUGUGUAUUUUCACCACCGAAGAUCAAGAGCCAGCAUGCCAUGCUCAUAAAAAUCUGCAUCAGUGGAGGUGACCCACUGUUUCACAGGUGCUAUGACAGCAUGAUUACCAGGUAGAAAUCAGAAGGCAUCAAAUCCAGACUGUGCAAUGGGUGUGGUGGGACAGUCCAGCCAAGAUGGGCAAGGUCUUCCAUGGUCUUCAAACUGAUAUGGAGCCUGGUGUUAUAAUAUUGCAGGAGAAAGGCUUUCUUCUUCUCUGGCCUGACUCUGGAAGUUUGAGCCAUCGGCUGACUAAGUUGUGAUGAGUGGUCAGAGUUAAUGGUUUCACUUUCACAGGAACCUGUCACCUUCAGCCUCAUAUUUGUUCAGUAGAUUCCGGCAAACUUGCAAACUUCUUUCUGUUCCUAUGUGAGCAUUUGUGGAACCUGGUACAAACUUUGUGAUAUUCCAAUGUUGCCAUUGUUGUUUCUAAUGCACUGAAGCUGAUAUUCAACUUCAUACGUAGUUCUCUGGUUGUAAUCUGCCAGUUCUCAUGGAUGAGCUCACCAAGACUUUCAUUUUGUGGUGUUACUGCAGUGCAUGGCUGUCCAGAAUGUGGUUUGUCUUUCACAUCACUGUUGCCACUGCUGAAAUGCACUACCCACCACCUCACUGUGCUCACAUUUGCUCUUUGGUCUCCACAAAGGUUCACCAAACAUUGAAGAAUGUCAGUGGGUGCUGUUUUUUCCACACAGAGGAAUUCAGUGACACACCUUUGCUUCAUAUGCACUUCUAUGUCAGAUGCCGUUCUGUCAGACUGCCCCUCUGCUGCCAUCUGUCACGCAGCAACAAAAUGCAAUGGAAUAUUGGUGGGAAGAUUCAACCUCUAUUGCCAUACCACCGACAUCCACCUCUGAUGUUGUGGUUCAACAUAAUAAAACAGGUGACAUUACUUUCAGAGCAACCUUUACAUAAUCAGCCACAGAACACAAAAGCUUGUGAAUAUGCUUCCUUGUGGUAAAAAUAGAAAAUCUUUUCUUAGAAUAGUCACAACCAUAAAUUUGGUCAUUUGAAUGCUCACAAAUAGCCUGAAAUCUGUCUGUUUGUCUAACUACACAAGAAGAUGCAUCACUUCCAAGAACACAUGGAACUACUUGCUGUGUGCAUGUAUGAUAAUUAUUUUCAUGUUAUAUAGUCUGUCUAACAACAGUUUGCACAGUGCCUAUGCAUAUGCCUCUCUUAAAUGACUACAUUAACUCAAUCAAUCCAAAGAUGAAAAAUCUGUUUCCUGAACUAUUCAGAUUGUUUAACCAUUCAUUUUCUUCCUUUUGAUGUGUAGCUGCAUUUCAGUGUUUAUAAGCAUAAUUCAGUGCUGUCACAAUUGAGUUUUCUGUAACUUUUUACUCAGUAGUGCAGUAAAAAGCAUACAGCUUAUGAGAUAACAGUGUUAUGUAAAUAGGUCAUAAAAUGGAAACUGUUCCCUGUUUAGAAGUGUAGUGCCACUGAAGCAGGUAAAAAUGGUUUUCAUCCAAUCUUCGUACUGAAAAUUUAUUUUAUCUCAUUUGACUGAGAUUUCUUUGCUACUCUGCUUCCAUUUAUGAAUAGUCCACUUUUUGCUGUUGAAUAACAGAAUUGCAUUAAUUCGUUAAUCAAAUUCUGUACAUGUAAAACAUUGUUUGAUCUCUAAUCUAAUGUUCUGUUUCAAGGAGUGCCCAAUAGCAGGUAAUCAGUGUAAGAUUAAAAAUAAAAAGGUUCUGUAAUAGAUUGUUUCACGUGACAAUUUCUCAGGAAGAUCAAACAUGCCAGAUGUUAAACAAAUAUCCAUUGAACUGUUUUCCUUUUGAGAACACUUAAAAGAUUAAACUGCAGAAUGUUUUACAUUUCCUGUAAUGUCAUUUGCGAUGUGUAAACUAAUGCUAGAAUCUCAAUUUGAGAUGAAUACCCAGAAGCAAAACUUUAUUGCAGUGUGUUUCAGGUCAUUGAAGGAUGAAAGAGUUAGGAAGACAUGCCUCUAGAAAUACUGUUCAAUACAAGGCAGGCCCUAUCUUGCAGGCUGUUUCCCUCAACCUGACUUGGAAGCAGUUGAGGCAAGUGAAAUAGCAGAGGAGGCAUAUGUUUGUUUCUUAAAAUUACUGCUGUGUGUAGCACUACUCUGUCCUUACCGACUUUUUCCUUUCUGUAGAUCACUUAAAUUUUAUGUAAGGAAGGGGUCUCCACCAUGAACUUUGAGUUGUGAAAAAUACAUAGCAAGACAACACAUUACGUGUUAAUUUUGAAUACACCUAGCGUAAAUAAUUGCACUUUCCUUCUCCACAUAAUGUAAUUCCUCUGUGUUCAUGAUAGAAAACUAGACAGCCACCACAGAUGUAGUGAUGCUCUGUAAUUACUGAGAAAUGUGGAUUUUCCCAGGUACUCAUUUCCCUGAAUUCUAUCACCGUAUGCCUCAUUUGGAGGCUGACUGUAUGGUUGCUUCACAAUAACUGCUAUUCAAAGACAUAAGCAAAGAAAUACACACUUAGCUUGUCAGAAGGCAUUGAAUUUCAUUGUUUUGAUAUGUUUAUUUUAGAAAAGUUGCAGCAUUAAUUGUAUUCAUUUCCUAUUAGUUUCUGGCUUUGACUCACUUCUGUGCUCAGAAUGAUUAAGAAACUUCUGGGAAGAUGUUAACACAUUCUCCUCUUCCCACAUCCCCCAAUUCAAAAUAUACAUAUAUAAGCUAAAAAAAUGCUUCAAAGCCACAAAAAAGGGAAUUUCAGGCUGCUAAAAUUUUUAAAAUAUUACCAAAAAAUACCCAUAGUGUAUCAAAAUAGUUAGGAACUGUUUGUUCAUGAGAACUAAGAGGGUCUCUUUUUUAAAUCCCUCUCACUUUGCCCAGAUGUGGUAGAGCAGGAAGAUGUAUAUUUUAAAAGGAGAAGGGACAGCUAAUCUGAAGGAGCUUAAGAGAUGCAUUGGAAGCAGAGGCUGGUGACGUUUUAGCAGGUAGUGAUGCCUGUGUGGUAGCUAGCCAAGAAGUCUGGUCCUAUGAAUUAUUGAAUGGAAUUUGGGAAUGAACUGAGAUGACACCUGGAACCUAAAGUUGACUAAGCAAGAUACUGAGACAAUGCCAAGAAAGUGGCAGAUAAAGAGCAAAGCAAAUGAAGGUUAGAACUGAGUUGCAGGGAAGAAAUGUCAUUGAUGGGACUGACAAGCCAGGCAUAUAUUGGUUAUAUAUAAUUUGUUAUAUUGUGUUGAGGGAUAUGGUUUAGCGAGAACCAUUGGUGAAGGGCGAAUGGUUGGACUGGAUGAUCCUGUGGGUCUUUUCCAACCUUAGCGAUUCUAUGAUUCUAUAAAUUUCUACUUAUUUUUCAAUCCAGAGGUAGGCUGUUCUUCUCUCCUAAGUAAUUAAUAUAUGUUUGAAGCUGAGAAAAGACUAUAAAGUAUGUGAAUUUUGAGUGAGUAUUCUAGUCAUCAUUUCAGGGAACAGGAGCACUACCCUGUAGAACUGGCAUCUAUGCAGAGCUGGAUAAACUAAGCGAUGGAAUAUGGUUCUGGCCUUUGAAUUCUCAUCUCAGGGAGCUGUCUUAUCCAGAAAGGAAAGAAUUUCAGACAGACUCCUUUCUUCAGCUUUUCCUAACAAAUUAUUUCCAUUCUGCAUGUUUGGUGGUGUGACACCUGCUCCAAGCUUCCUGUGGCUCCCAUUUGUACAGAAAAUGGUGGCAAAAUGGGGGACGUAGGAAAGAUUUGGGCCUGACAUAGGCAUUUCAGUGUCAGCAGCAACAUCUCACAUGAGCCUUAGUACUUGGGUGCAAGUUUUACCUGGCAAUUCUUUGGCAGAAUUAGAGACAGAAUCCAUUUGUCCUGGGAAGCAUGUAACUCAGCUAUUGGACUAUCUUUGCUGUCCUCAACCUUUCUGGCUCUUCCCCUGUGCAUCUUCUUUCUUGACAAAUAAUGACUCAUGGAGCUUUUCAUAAGACUCUUUUGCCUUUGAAUUCCUUCCACCCAAGAGAAGGAAACAGGACUAUUCUACAGCUAAAAGAUGUGGGAAGAAAAAACUGUGUUAACUUGUAAGUGAAAUGUUAAUGUAUAGGGCCAUUUAUUACUUUUUAAAAAAAUAGCUUUGUCAUAUGAAUAAUUUUAACCUAUUUUACGCAUGUGAUGUAUAAAGCUUGUUAAUACUUACAUUAUUUUUACACAUUUACAACCUUUUCAACCUAUUCACCUGGAAAAUCUAUGGCAAACAAGUGUAUAGUACACAUGCCCUAUGAGAAUUUCUUCUGAACUAAAUUUCAUUUGGAUAUAAGAAAUUAAUUCUAUAAUAAAAUGACCUGAGAAAAUCAAGUCGUACAGACCAUAGCUCUGACUUUUUUUCUUGGGUCCUCAAAAUCAACUGGUGUAGUAUCUUCAUUAUGUUAUUUCAUUUGAAAAGCACUGAAAAUGCUGUGACAGGAAGAAGGUGAUAGGAUUUUUAGGAAUAUUUUUCCUGACGUUACUUGUAAAUUUUAAUGUCGGUGGGAUCUUAGCAGAAGUAGUUUAGAAGUAGUUGUAGUUUGGCCAGACUGCAUGCUGCUUGGUCACAAUUUUAUGUUGUUGGAAUGUGUUUUGCCUGUGUAGAAGCGGAUAAUCAGCCUUGCUAACCAUAUGCCUAAAAAAUGUUAUCUAAUAACAGUACAUCCUUGGUUGUACUAAUGGGAUUAAAACUAUCUUGCAUACUUUUCAAGAGGCCUUUAUCCUGUGGAGACAUACACACUAAGGAGGGACAACCCUGCUAGCAGUUGUUAAAUUCACAUACCAUUUGCAACCUUUUCUAAUCAUACUCUUCCUAGGAAGCCCACCACAUUUGCCACAGUUUCCUUGGAAUGAGACCAAGUGUGCUUUAAAUUGAUACAAGCUUAUUUGAGAAAGUCUGUCAAAGCUGUCACCAGAAACCAAAAAUAGUUUCUUCAGACAGAAGGCUUGUUCCUUUCAUGAAUUUUUGCUAAGCAGAUGUGGCUUCAACCACUGUUUGAAUUUGUGUCUCACUUUCAGAGGUCAAGAAUAUUUCAAAACAGUUUUGACAUAGACUCCUCUCUGGUUUUUUCUCGUGGUUACCUUUCAAAAGACAGCCAACCUCUGUUGGUAUUUAAAUGGAAUUAAUCAGAAGAAAGAGGGACCUACGGGCCUUUCUAAAUCUCACCCAUUCCUCUGCUGUGAGAGCAGAGCUGUUGCAGCUGGAUUCCUGCAACUCCGGUGGCAAAGCACCCACCUGGAGUCUGUUCUCAGCUCAGCCACCAGAUCUGGCAGCUGGUCUCACAGCUCUAGACUUCUGUCUUUGCACCUGCAACAAGGCAGUAAAAAUCCUGACUUAAUGCAUAUUCUUAUUUCUAAUAUUGUUAUUUGUUAGUGUACGUAUGGCAGGUUAUUGAUGGCUUAAAGGAGCAUCAGCUGUUGUGACUGAGGUCUUUGGGGUGUUUUGCCAAACUACUGUAACAGCAUUGCGCAUAAAGCAACAAGAUUUUGCAUUUUUUUUGUGUCCUUACAUGGACAGAUAGGUUGAUGACUUUCUAAUUCAUCAGUCUUGUUCUGUAAGGACAGCCACUGAACUUUUCUUUUUCAAGGAAGGUGGUGAGCAAAAGACAAUAAAAAACCACUAGCUGAUUUUCUUUUAGAUUGUGUUCCAUGCACGAUAGAGUUCAUGCUAUAUCUAAGCAUAGUUGUGUCUGUUUAUAAAUGAAAAUCUCUCAGAAACAUGAGAAAUGACUUGAAACAUGAGAAAUUGAUUUUGUAAAAAUUAUCAGUCGUGAUUUUGCUUCUGCCCUGUACUGUAACUACUAUAACCUUAAUCCAUAAAUCCAGUCUUCUUUGGGAAAGUCUUAGCUGGUGUUAAUCACGAAAAUUAGAAAACUUGAAGUAUAAAAAGAUAAUGGAUUGCACCUACAAAUGUAUUCUUCAGUUCUAUAUGCAAACAAGCAGCUGCUCACAGAAAACUCUGUGUGAACACUGCAGUUUUAAUUUGUCAUCUUUGUUUUUCAGUGGCAUACCUUUAAUAUCACUUACAUUUCUGUGAAAAAUAUUUUUAUUACUUACCAGAAUUGUUUGCACUAUAAUGGAUUAUCUUUUUCCAUUUAAAAACACUAAAACAUUCUGUCUAUUAUCUCAUUUGUAGUACAACUUGGAAAAUGCAGGAAGGAUAUUGCAGUAUUCUCACGUGUGUCCGUUAUUCAUUUUCCUGCAGAGUAUUGGAAAUCUGUGUCAAAAUCCAUCUCUUUGGCUGACCUUUGGGAAGGCUCCGUUGAUGUGUUCUGUUUCCAUGGAAAUAAAUAAGAGGCAUUGCUUUCAGAGUGACACACUGAAACAGCUCUCCAUUGCUACCAGUAGAGAGGAACUUAUGCCCUAUGUUGCAGAAAGCACUCGGUAACACCAGGAUUCAACUGUUUCUCCUGCAGAACGGGAGGUUUCUGUCACUCACGGCCUGCUGUCCUUCUGUGUCAGAGGAAACCCAGUGUAAUGAGACAUGCUGCUAAGAAGGUUCUGGAGGAGGCUAGAGCACUCUUACCUGCAAUACCUGAGGAAUGUGCUUUUGUAGAACACUCAAAACGUACUUAUGAUUCUUCGGGCACAUAAGGCUGGACAGUCCAUUCACAGAUGGCCUUGAAGUCUUCAGCUUCUCUUGGUAAAGUAAUCUAUCCAUUCACAAAUAUCAACAUUUGUUCAAGGUACAGACUUAUUUUUUUUCAUUAUCUGUCAAAUCAUUCACAUUCUGAAAUACACUGUGAAUUGCUCUCAGAAGCAUUUCUUAUCAUUCUAAUGUGGCAUUCCUCAUGACUAAGAAAUGGUUAUUCAUCAUGACUCAUUAGACUCAAACAUAUUAAAUUUGUUUCAGAAAUAGAUAUUCACUAUGUGGGAAGUAAAAGGCAACACUAGUUUAUAUGUAAAUAGUGGGCAGUAAAAAUAGGUAGGAAAGAGCAGAUCAUAUUUAAAAAGAUUAAAUGUUACAGAAAACACAUGAUCAUCUACCCCUGUAACUAAGUAACAUCUAUUGGAAAGGGACACAAGCUUCUUCAGUAAAGAAACGCACAGAACCGUGGCGGUGUGCCUUUAACCGAUAGCUUCCUGCUGAAUAAGUGCUGAGGGCAUUCCUGAAAUUCCCAGAAGAAGGCUGCUGGCGGGAGCACGCUGUCGUGGCUCUGUUUUGUCCCAGUUCUGUGCUGACGGCUGUGCUGCAUCCACGCAGACACCGGCUGUCCUUUGCAGCCAUAUAUGGACAACACCCGGAUUGAACUCGGCCCUCUUCUGUCCCCGGAACUCUCUGAGGUCUCAUGUUACGGAUUUCUAGUGAUGUAAUUAUAUGCAUCCAGUGACCAAAUUUGGUAGCUACCUCCUGGAGGCAUGGUUGGAGGUUCUUUUUUUUAAAUUAUAAAUCUCACCUCAAUUAGAUAAUUUCUUCCUUAAUUUAUUUUUAAAAUGUCAGCAUUUUUUUUAAGCUUUUGCCAGAAAUCUUAUAGAUUGGCAAUCUGCUUUAUUUUUCUCAGCAAACAAAGUUCUCUGUGACUAAAGUUCAUGUUGUAGCAUUUGAAAAAGGAUUCAAAUUUCUAUAUAUUUACAAAACUGACUAAAGAAUGGAAUUGCAAAAGUAAAAUAAGCCCUGAGGUUACAGCAUUGUCUGUACAUCUCUGUAGAAAGUGCAAGCUGUGUAUGAGUUUCUGAGAAAUCAUAAAAAGGUCUUCUUUCAGGUUAGAAAACAAAACUUUUCAGACACUAAAAUUAAUUAGUCAGAAUUUUCUUCAGAGGAGAAGUAUCGCAGGAAAAAAAAUAUAAAGGGCAGGUAGCAACAGGGCGAAGGGAUGCCUCUUUAAACUGGAAGAGGGUAGGUAAUUAUUUACUGUAAGUAAUUCUUUACUGUAAGGGUGCUGAGACACUGGAACAGGUUGCCCAGUGAGGUUGUGAACGCUCCCUCCCUGAAAGCAUUCAAAGCCAGGCUGGAGCAACCCUGGUCUAGAGGGAGAUGUCCCUGCCUAUUGCAGGGGGGGUUGUCCAUUUCCAAUCCAAACCAUUCUAUAGUUCUCUGAAUAUUAAAUCUACUAAAUGAUAAAGUUAUUAUCAACACAGCACAUUUAACAACCAGUUAUAUGUUGUCACUGCUUUCUUUAAGCAGAAUAGCUAACCAUCUCUUUCAUUACUACCCAACAGUUCUGGCCACUCUGAAAUUAUAGUUGUGUUAAUCCAAACAUAGAGGGAAUCAAAUAACAAAAGGCUCUCUCAACCUGCUUUUACCCAAUCAGAGUCAUGUUUCUAGUGUUGUUUUGCUCAUAUAUUAGAGUUAUCUGGUUGUUUAUUUUCUCUUCCUACUCUGUAUUGCUGGCAUUUGUGUUAGAUUUCCUCUGUCCACUUCCACAUAUUCAAUUAUUAAAAAAUAUUAAAAAUAUAUCUUCAAUAACAACUAGAAUUUACAUCCAAUCUAGAAUAAGUAUAUAUGUAUACAUACACAUCUUCAAAUCACCUGUUGUGACAUACCUGAGACUAUGAAUUAUGUUGCAUUAUGUGCAACAGUCAGCAUACUUUGUUCUACAUACAGUUGUACAUACAUUGGCCCUAAGCAUGGACAAUAUUGACAGGUACUAGAAACGAAGUCAAAACAGGUAGUAGAAAACAAACUGUUCCAGCACAGACCAUAUCACAUUGAAUGAUAUGACACAAAUGUUUGGACUGGAUGAUCCUGUGGGUCUUUUCCAGCCUUAGCAAUUCUAUGUAUUUUUUUUCCUCUAGCACUAUUUUUUUUUGUUCUAGCACUGUUUUGCCCACACAAUGCCUUACAUUCAGUCCCUCCAGCCUUCUUUACAUAUUAGCUAACAGAAAGUCAGGAGUUUUAUACAAUAUGCAAAGAUUUUGUAGAUUUCCUAUAAUAUGCAUCAUUAAUGUGGUGCAUUUCCUUCACAUUCCUAUACAUGACUAAAAAGUGAAGUUGUUUGUUUUGAUGAGGAACUUAGAGACCUAGAGGAUAACCUAUACUUAAAAAAAUGCUAUGAGAAUUAAAUGUAAGCUUUACAGUGAAAACACUGAGAAACAAUUCAAAUACAUUUGAAGAAAUCUAGCUUUGUAGCAUUGAGCUUCUUGCUAUAGCAUGAAGUAUUUAGGAACUGUAAUCUAAAACACACAGAUGUGUAAGGACAGAUUAAUUUGUCUUACUGUUCUUAUAAUUCAAUACAUCCCCAGAUACAUUGCAUCCAACAUUGCAGAUACAUUGCUUCCCUUGCAUCCAACCCUGAAUUCUGAAACUUUUUUUUACUGUAUGUUUGUUUAAUGUGUAACACAACAGGCCCAGAGGCUAACAUCAGGAGUACCUAGCAACUCCAGAAGUAUAAUUAAUAUUUUAACUAGGAAAAAGAGAGCAGAUGAUGGAGCAAAAUAUAGCAAACAAAAUUAUGAGUAAUGAGUAUUUAUGACAUACUGUAGUGUCUGUCACAAAUGAAUACGUAGAACAGAUACCAAAUAUAACAAAAUGAAGGCCCUCUCACUGAAGUACUCACUUGUCUAAGCUGAGACAAUGCAUGUAUCUAAGAAAGAGUGAAAACAAGAUGGAAAUAAAACCCUUGGAUUAAAUUGGUAAUCAUAGCACAUCCCUUGCUUGUUUUUGCUCUGUAUUUCUACUAAACGGAGAGGAAUACAUCUAAGCAGGGAUUAAAUGAAACCCAACAGAACAUCCAGUGAGUGCUUAUGAGCUACAUAAUGUUUCAAAAACUUGAGGCUUCCUUACUGGAAAGUGUUGGGAAUAAUUCCAAAUCUGAGUUUAUCAACUACUAUCCUUGUUAUUCUACCUUUUAUUAAAAUAUCUCAGGUGACACUAAAAAUGUUUGUUCUCUCUGCCAAAUGUUUUCUGAAGCCAGAUAAUUUGGUUUGCUAUUUACAUUUGAAAGUGCUGUCAAUGAAUUAAAGUUUCAUCAAAACAUCCUGUUUCAUCAAGAUGGAGCUGUUUUAAAGACCAUAAGUUUCAACAAAGCUUUCAUCAGCAGUGCGUCUAAGGUGAAUGCAUUCAAGCUCAUUUCUGACCUGAAUGAAAUUGCCAUAGCAUCAUAUGUAAGGCACAAAUUACUGCAGAAGGGAGAAAAGACCUCUAGUGGGCAUAUACCAGGCAUCACUAAGAGCUGAAGGAUUCACAUCAUCCUCCUAGUUUGAAAAACAGAAUCACAAUGAAAAAACGCCCCUAAAGGAGACACCAGAAAAUGCAUUUAUUUAUUGUCUGACUGGAAAAGAAGCUGUAAGCAUGAUCUAGAAUAAUAAUAAAAACAAUUAUCUGUCACCUUUCCCACAAAUCCUGUCUGUAUGGAAAAAAGAAGCAACAAGAAUAUGAGGGUUCCACCCCAACAAUAAGAUGAUGACAAGACACUGCCAUAGUCUUGUCUCAUACUCCUAGAGAGUGCUAUCUCUAUGAGCAGUGAACUGUAGCUUCUGACCUGGAUUUUGUCUGACAGCUUCCAAUCAGGCCGCACAGUCUGAAUUUGUUUAGACCAUCUGGUUAAUCCAGUCAGUACAAAAACAGAAAUUUAAUUUCUCCUCCCAAAAAAGGGAGAGGAAAUAAAAAGGUAGCAGCUAUUCCUCAAACCACCAACAGAAAAAUGCCUAGUCUGACCGAGCACGUACACUGGUUUAGUAAACAUCCAAAAUGCACUGGUGGAAUAAACCAAAUUCAGAUUCAUUGAACCAGAAAGCCUUUAGAAAGAAGAAUCAGGAGUGAAAGUCUGCCUGCUAUUUGCAUAACAAAGAAGAGAAAUCUUGGUAAGGGAGAUCUUGUCUUUUAAUUAUUAUUAUUUUUUUUGCUUACAAUAUAUACAACAGAAGGUAGAAAGCAAACAAGCUACUGCUUUCCAGGAUCCUUUUGCAGAAAGACCAAAAAAAGAAAGUAUGAACUGAAAUCUCUCAUCCUGAGCUUGCCCAUACAGUCAGAAGAGGAACCUGGGCAAGUUCAUCAAAACUGUGAUUGCUCUUGAUGCUAAGUAUGUAAAAACAACCAUUCCAGAAGCUGUAACUUUGUCACCAGAACAGUUUCUUGAAAUAUUGAAAUAGGUCCUACUUGAGUUUUAACAGCAAUAAAGGUGCAGAUAUCUAAAGAUGGAACAUCUGAAGGCUCUUCUUCUGUUCUUGUACUUAGAAGUGAAGAUGUUAACAGAGAGAAUCAAUGACUGGCAGGCAAGCAGAUAACACUGUAAACAAGCUUCAUAAUACUUCAUCUACAUUUGUGGCUAUAAUCAAUAAAGGACCCAUAAUCCAGGGAUGCAAAAAGUGUUAUUGCCCUUCUCCUGUCAUCCUGUAUCCUUUAGAGAGCAACGUCCCCACUGAUCGGUGUGAUGUUACUGGUGCAGAACUUGGACAGGUUGCCUUCAGCUGUGGAUGGCUUUCUCCCUGUCCUCCUUUGCAUUCUAUGUGAAUAUGGACAAUAGGGAGCGUGCUGAGAUGGGAAGGUCUUGCAGGGGGUACUGAAGGGUGAAUAAUGAAAAGCUGCUGCAGGAGGCACCUUCCAAAAAAGAGCUCCACAGAGCAGAAAUCCUAUUUAGUGAUGAGAAGAAACUUCAAAGCUAUCCCCCUUUCAGGAGUGUGAGACAUUUCACAGACUGUUAUUCUUAGAUCUAGAUAACACUUACUAUCAGUAGUGAAGAUAAAAAAGAGUUAAUACACACCUCAUGCUGUCUUCUUCUGAAGGUAUCAUUGUUUUUAAUUUUUAAUCCAUCUGCAGGAAUUCAUUGCUAUGCUUUUUUUUUUUUUUCCCCAGACUCAUCUGUGGCUGUAUAAAAGUUUGUCAAAGAAUGUGUGCACAUUAGACAUCUGCCCAGCCUGCAGUGCCUGAGUCAGGCACACUAAUAAGCUUGUGGUUGUCCUUCACAUUCUCUGAGUUUUUACUUAUUAGGCAGAAAAAGUGUUUCAUGGAGAUUCAUAGAAUGGCUUGUGUUGGAAGGGACCUCAAGGAUCAUCAAGCUCCAGUCCCCCUGCCGCAUGCAGGGCCACCAACCUCCAUAUCUAAUACUAGACAUAUAGACUUAUACAUACAGACUACACUAAGUAAUCUAUUAGAGCUUGAGAUAAUGGAAAGUCAUUUGGAAACUGGGAUCAAAUGAGAAAGUUGCACUUGGGCAAUGCAUAAUGUGUACAUGCUAAAGAUUGGUCAAGAUGAAUACUCUCAUCCAGAAGUCCUGUAGAUACAUCUUCACAAUGGGAAGUAUUCCACUGAAGCUACCUGUCCAUAUUAACAUGGCACAGAAUCCACAAAUGCUUCACUCCACUUCUCAGGCAAGCAGUGGAAGAAUUCUUGUAUCUUUCAUCUGUUGCUGCAAAGUGGUGCACAAGUCAAAAUCACAAUUGAAAAGUUAACAGUUGAUCAACCUUACUAUAAGCCUACUGAUACAAGAUCUGCAGAAAGGAAGGACUGGAUUAUUUGGGGGAAGAAAGCAAAAACAUUCAGAUCCUACAUCCAGAAGAAUUGCUGUUAAUGUUUACAGGUUUCAUGUAUGUUCUUUUGCCUGAGCUGUGCUUUGGGGUGCAUUGGCUCUUUUCUCUGGAGUAAAACAUGAAAAAUCUUCCUUUCUUUGGUGAUCUCCAGAGCUUUUUAAAGGUACGGUAGAACAAUAGUACUCUCACAGUAGUUUUAAUGGGACAGAAGUGUUGCUGUGUUGUCUUACAGAUUUUAUCAAAUUGUGCUUAGAAUUCAUUCAUUUUGAUCACUCAUAUUAUAGACAAAAUUCUUCUUGUAGGAUGUUUAUAUGUCCCAGAGCAUUCAUAAUGCACUGUGUUCAGCCAUCUACAAGCAUUUAAUUACAGACCGUCUGUUUCAUGUAAAAAAUAUUUGCCAAGACUCUUUUGGCAGAGUAAGGAGUGAACUUCGUAAAGGAAAACCAAGUUGCUCAUCGGUGGUGGCAGCAAAAAUGAGGAAAAGAACUACCCAAGAGUUUCUUGAAGAUUCCAGUUGAUGGAUCCUGGCCUGAUUGGGUCUCUUAUAUAAACCUUGAUGGAAUGGUGCUAAAUUUUGCAUGGAAACCUUUAUUUUUUUCCCCACUUCAACAACUGUAGCUGAAUGUACAUUUAAAAAUGGUAUUUGAAAAUUAAACUCAUAAGACAUCAUUAUACAAGACAUAAGCACAAACUUAGUACAGAAAGGGAGAAAGCAUCCAGUCUUUGAAAAUAAUGUUUGUGCCUUGUGCUUUUUUAAAACAUAAACAUAGAUUAUCAGCACACUACUAAAGUGAGGCUGCAUCUCACCUUCCACAGUCUCACAGCAUAAAAAUAGCAUAUUUGAACUUACCAGAAGAUUGAUGUUUCUUUGCUUUCGUAUUACUUUUUCCUUUGUAUUUUAUGAAAAUGUAUGCCUUGCUGUCCAAUGUUGAAAAUAUCCACUGAGGUGAUUUUAAAGUUAAACCUGAAGAUUCAAGUUGGAAGUUACUGAAGGAUGAGUUUGGGUUUUUUCAAAGUGCUAUUAUUUUGACUCCUUGAGGGCUCCACAUGAAUACUUUACCUCUCCUUUUCUUUCUUUGGUUUGAGAUUCAUAACUGCAGCUGCUGUGCAAAGUAAAGUUUCCAUUGAGGACUAGCUGACCAAAUUUGUCAUGCUGAAAGUGAAAGUUGUAUCAGAAAGAGUGGGGUUUCCUUCAGUGCAGCAAGUCUGAGUACUGGAGCAGGUUCUAUUUCAGUCAUCCCUCCACUUCAGCAUAUAUCAACAGAUGGAAUCAGUGCAUCUUUUCUGUUGUACUUCAGCCUCCUACUCACUGACCACAGCAGGGACUAUGUCACGUCAUUGAGCACCAAGAGACACUGGAGAGAGGGAGUCCAACUGCCCACAGAGGCCCUGAGGUGCCUGGAGGAGGGAAACACCCCAGGGUAUCUCAUCUUCCUCCUCCACCCUCCUCCCAAAGCCAAAUGCCCAGAAUGUGCUGAGCUGAACUGAAACCCUGCCCUGUGGCCUUGGGGAGCAGUCAGCUAUGUGGCUGUAGACACCAUAUGCUGAGGGAGCACCACCUUCCUGCUUUCACUGGCAGAAGUGAGUUUCCCUUAAAAACCAGCAAAUUAUGCAGUUUCACACCUGACUCUUCAGUUGAGCAGGUGGAAAUGUCCUUUUCUGGGCCUCAACAGUAAAGGAGCCAAAGGCCAGGGGUCAGCUAUUAAGUUCAGCUGUUCCCUAUUGCAGGUUCAACUCAUGCUCCCUGGCCUGGCUGUGCUCUGAGGCACCUUGAGGCACUUGUGCCUUUGCGGUAUGAGCUCAUUUGUUGUCAUUUCCACUUUGGGGUGGGAAAAAAGGUCAUAAGAAGAGAUCAGUAAAUGUGCAGCAUUCAUAAAGCAAGGCCGCUUCAAAACAGACACGUUGCAGUGUUAUCAUAUCCAGGAAAACAGCAACAGACAGCGUAACUUUAAAAUACCACCCAGAAACUCUUGCUUGGAAAGGACAACUCACAGCAUCAAAGCCUGGACGUACUUGCCAAACCAUGCUUUAACUUACUGCCAAGACACCAGAUUUAUCCCCUUAGUAGCAAUGAUGCGCUAGGCAAGAUGGUGAUUGCUACAGCAAAGUGGGGAUGGGUUUGUUUCACAGUGGUCACGAUGACAGAAGGAGCCCUGCAGAUAUUAAUACUUGAUGAGAAAGGUACAUGAAAUUAGCCUGUGAACUGUUUGUGGAUAAAUAUCUCUCAAGCAUACAAUAAGAAUUCAAGCAAAUUAAUUUAACAGCUAGAAGUCAAAUGUAAUGAAAAAAUAUUUAUGAAAAUUUUGUAUGUUUAGGUGAAUAGUUUCAAACCAAAAAUAAAUGAGAAAUAAAUACAGCCUAGUAGAAAUUGGACUGUGUUUAGAUUCUGAUAAUCUGAAAGGGCAUUUUUUAGCAUAAGGAUAAGUUCAGGUGAUUAUUUAAAGAAUAAGAUCAGAAUGGCUGUUCUUGACUUUAAUUUGGAGCCAAAAUAUUCUAUGUAAAGAACUUGUAAAAUCCAUGUCCCCUUUAGUUCUACAGUCAGUAAUUACUCACAGGAUAGAGUAUUCAGAUUUAUGAGGAAGAAGGAGAGAGUGGCAGUAAGUUGUUACUUCUAUUUCCAGCCAAUGUUUGCAAAUUCAAUGGCAAUAACAAACCAAAAACCUGACUUUCUCCCUUCAAACCGCUCUAUAUCUGUGGUCAAAAAUGUAUAGCUAUGUUUUACAUCUUUUUUAGCACAUAAACAUUUAAGGAUACUUACCUCAACCACACGACAAUUUUCUGAGCCUUGCAAGUCUUACAAAUCCCUAAUCACAGUUGGAUGUAUUCAGUAAUGUAGAAUUAAGGAGUAACAGCUGAAAUGCACCUGGGUUAGGUGGCUACUGAGGUUAUAUGGUGUCGAAAUAAUAAGGUGUGGGUCUGGUUAGAGAGGGACCAGGCAUCUGUUCCCACCUCAGCUACAACUUCCCAUACUAGUACUCAUAUUGAGUACUGAGUAUUAUAGUACUGAGGAUUAUAGCACUAGUGAUUGUGCUAUAACAGUGAUUGUGAUUACUGAGGUAAUCUAAACAGAGAACUUUGCUUCUCUGGAAGUGGAGAAUAACUACUGUAUUUUAGUGACAUGCUGAUGGAACCUCAGUUUGGAUGUCCAAAGAUGUAGUUCCUGGCUGAUGCAUAUACAAGUAAAUUGUUACUGACUUAAUUUUGUCUUAAUGGGAUUCUUUUGUUGACAAGGUAAAUUUGUGACUUCUGAGCCGAGAAUUGUCUUUAGCUGGUGACAGCUUUCAUUUAGAGCAAGCAUUAUACUUAUUACCAUGACAGAGGCCCUUAAACAGGAAGAUGGAUAAAUUCUACUAGCAAGGAAUGGUAGCUGGCCUCUUGAUAACAUAUGGCAUAGCAUUGAACAACUUCCUGGAAACCUUAGCAGUGCAGAGGUUUGAAAGAACUGGACUGGCCUGCAGUUCAUAAACAUCAUAGGCUGAAUAAGCUGCUUCUAACUGCAUCAGAAACUUUUGCUCAUAUAUUUAGACUUUGCUUCUAGAACUAAAAGUGCUAAAAAGUGGCAAGACUAAAAAGGCAGCACAGCAAUAAAAAUUCCAUUUUGACUCUGGGGAGAGCCUCAGAGAUGUUGUGGUCAGAAUUUUCUCCAUUAUUUGCAAGUUCUCAAAGAAGAAUUUUCUUCAUUCUGGAUUAGCUUUUUGCAAAAUCUAUUAAGACUUUUAAUUUCAUUUAAAAAUAUUCUUAUGUUUUGAAACUUAGUCUGCAGGAAGUUUAACCAGACCUUAAUUAAGGACUCUGAGUGUGACAGAAGCUUGUGUAUCAACAAGGUGCUUUGCUUGUCUGCCCAAUAAAAAUACAAGGAGUAAUGCCUGUUUGGGGAGUAAGCAGAGCAGAAGCGAAGCAGGGAGGGGGGCACAAAUUAUGAGCUGCUUUGGUCUCCAUUGUCAGGAAGUACUUCACCACUUCCAUUGCCUCACUACAUCUCUUCUAUUAGAAAGCCUUUAUAAAUUACAGGAAUAAGUGGCCCUUAGCAAAUAACUUCAAAACAGAGCAACUAAAUAGGACUGAAGGAGAAUGGGAAACUCCAUUCUGCUACUGCUAAAGCAUAGUUCUGAGCUGCUGGCAUUUUUUCCCCCUCUCAGCUCAGGAUGAAAGACAAAAAUGUUAAUAAUUUCCACAAAUUGAAAAUCUGAAAAAUGUGAGCUGAGGUCAGCUGGAACAUUUCGUUUCUAUAAUUUUGUAAUAUCUUUUGACAAUGCUGAUCUGUCU
rnacentral:lncRNA from 1 species